AUACGUAGGUGGCAAGCGUUGUCCGGAUUUACUGGGUGUAAAGGGCGUGCAGCCGGGGAAGCAAGUCAGGUGUGAAAUGCAGAGGCUUAACCUCUGAAUUGCAUUUGAAACUGUUUUUCUUGAGUACUGGAGGGGCAAUCGGAAUUCCUAGUGUAGCGGUGAAAUGCGUAGAUAUUAGGAGGAACACCAGUGGCGAAGGCGGAGUGCUGGACAGCAACUGACGGUGAGGCGCGAAAGUGUGGGGAGCAAACAGGAUUAGAUACCCUGGUAGUCCACACUGUAAACGAUGAGUACUAGGUGUGCGGGGACUGACCCCCUGCGUGCCGGCGUUAACACAAUAAGUAUUCCACCUGGGGAGUACGAUCGCAAGGUUGAAACUCAAAUGAAUUGACGGGG
rnacentral:rRNA from 1 species